rnacentral:rRNA from 1 species
UACGAAGGGUGCAAGCGUUAAUCGGAAUUACUGGGCGUAAAGGGUGCGUAGGCGGUUCGUUAAGUCUGUCGUGAAAUCCCCGGGCUCAACCUGGGAAUGGCGAUGGAUACUGGCGAGCUAGAGUGUGUCAGAGGAUGGUGGAAUUCCCGGUGUAGCGGUGGAAUGCGUAGAGAUCGGGAAGAACAUCAGUGGCGAAGGCGGCCUGCUGGGCUGUUGCUGACGCUGAGGCGCGACAGCGUGGGGAGCAAACAGG